UACAGAGGGUGCGAGCGUUAAUCGGAAUUACUGGGCGUAAAGCGCACGUAGGCGGCUUGGUAUGUCGGGUGUGAAAUCCCCGGGCUCAACCUGGGAACUGCAUCCGAAACUGCCUUGCUAGAGUAUGGGAGAGGGAAGUGGAAUUUCCGGUGUAGCGGCGAAAUGCGUAGAUAUCGGAAGGAACAUCAGUGGCGAAGGCGACUUCCUGGACCAAUACUGACGCUCAGGUGCGAAAGCGUGGGGAGCAAACAGG
rnacentral:rRNA from 1 species